AUUGAACGCUGGCGGCAGGCCUAACACAUGCAAGUCGAGCGGUAGAGAGGUGCUUGCAUCUCUUGAGAGCGGCGGACGGGUGAGUAAUGCCUAGGAAUCUGCCUGGUGGUGGGGGAUAACGUUCGGAAACGGACGCUAAUACCGCAUACGUCCUACGGGAGAAAGCGGGGGGAUCUUCGGACCUCGCGCCAUUAGAUGAGCCUAGGUCGGAUUAGCUAGUUGGUGAGGUAAUGGCUCACCAAGGCGACGAUCCGUAACUGGUCUGAGAGGAUGAUCAGUCACACUGGAACUGAGACACGGUCCAGACUCCUACGGGAGGCAGCAGUGGGGAAUAUUGGACAAUGGGCGAAAGCCUGAUCCAGCCAUGCCGCGUGUGUGAAGAAGGUCUUCGGAUUGUAAAGCACUUUAAGUUGGGAGGAAGGUAGUAACCUAAUACGUUGCUACUUUGACGUUA
rnacentral:rRNA from 1 species